AUAACAAUACAGGACUCUUUAAAGGCCCUGUUAUUGUAAUGAGUCCACUUGAAAUCCUUUAACUAUGAUCAAUUGGAGGGCAAGUCUGGUGCAGAGCGACUGACCCGUGCGUGCUGCAGCUGAAACUCCACUAUCGCCUGCUGCUGCUCGCACAGUCCCUCCAG